CCUACGGGCGGCAGCAGUGGGGAUUAUUGGACAAUGGGGGCAACCCUGAUCCAGCCAUGCCGCGUGUGUGAAGAAGGCCCUCGGGUUGUAAAGCACUUUCAGUGAGGAAGAACGCCUGGUGGUUAAUACCCAUCAGGAAAGACAUCACUCACAGAAGAAGCACCGGCUAACUCCGUGCCAGCAGCCGCGGUAAUACGGAGGGUGCGAGCGUUAAUCGGAAUUACUGGGCGUAAAGCGCGCGUAGGUGGCUUGAUAAGCCGGUUGUGAAAGCCCCGGGCUCAACCUGGGAACGGCAUCCGGAACUGUCAAGCUAGAGUGCAGGAGAGGAAGGUAGAAUUCCCGGUGUAGCGGUGAAAUGCGUAGAGAUCGGGAGGAAUACCAGUGGCGAAGGCGGCCUUCUGGACUGACACUGACACUGAGGUGCGAAAGCGUGGGUAGCAAACAGGAUUAGAUACCCGGGUAGUC
rnacentral:rRNA from 1 species